GGCCGCGUGGCGAAAUGGCAUCGCGUCUGACUACGAUUCUGUGAUCAGGAGAUUGCAGGUUCGACCCCUGCCGCGGUCA
rnacentral:tRNA from 1 species